rnacentral:tRNA from 1 species
GGGCGAUUAGCUCAGCUGGUUUAGAGCAUCUGCUUUACGAGCAGAGGGUCAGAGGUUCAAAUCCUCUAUCGCCCA